rnacentral:misc_RNA from 1 species
GAUGAAGAACGUAGCGAAAUGCGAUAAGUAAUGUGAAUUGCAGAAUUCCGUGAAUCAUCGAGUCUUUGAACGCACAUUGCGCCCCCUGGUAUUCCGGGGGGCAUGCCUGUCCGAGCGUCAUUACAACCCUCAAGCCCGGCUUGUGUAAUGGGCGGCCGUCUCUCCCCCCGGGGGGAGACGCCCCCGAAACUCAGUGGGGAUGUCGCGAUACCGAAGCCUCAGCUAAUGGGUAAACCACAGCUGCAAUGGCCGCGGCCGGCGUCCGCCUUCCACGGUCCGUCCGCCUAGCGCGGGCGGCCUUCUCAAGGUUGACCUCGGAUCAGGUAGGGAUACCCGCUGAACUUAAGCAUAUCAAUAAGCGGAGGA